GGAGGAUUAGCUCAGUUGGGAGAGCAUCUGCCUUACAAGCAGAGGGUCAGCGGUUCGAGCCCGUUAUCCUCCACCA
rnacentral:tRNA from 1 species